rnacentral:rRNA from 1 species
ACGCUGGCGGCAGGCCUAACACAUGCAAGUCGAGCGGUAACACAGGGAGCUUGCUCCCGGGUGACGAGCGGCGGACGGGUGAGUAAUGUCUGGGAAACUGCCUGAUGGAGGGGGAUAACUACUGGAAACGGUAGCUAAUACCGCAUAACGUCGCAAGACCAAAGAGGGGGACCUUCGGGCCUCUUGCCAUCAGAUGUGCCCAGAUGGGAUUAGCUAGUAGGUGGGGUAACGGCUCACCUAGGCGACGAUCCCUAGCUGGUCUGAGAGGAUGACCAGCCACACUGGAACUGAGACACGGUCCAGACUCCUACGGGAGGCAGCAGUGGGGAAUAUUGCACAAUGGGCGCAAGCCUGAUGCAGCCAUGCCGCGUGUAUGAAGAAGGCCUUCGGGUUGUAAAGUACUUUCAGCGGGGAGGGAAGGUGUUGAGGUUAAUAACCUCAGCAAUUGACGUUACCCGCCAGAAAGAAGCACCGGCUAACUCCGUGCCAGCAGCCGCGGUAAUACGGAGGGUGCAAGCGUUAAUCGGAAUUACUGGGCGUAAAGCGCACGCAGGCGGUCUGUCAAGUCGGAAUGUGAAAUCCCCGGGCUCAACCUGGGAACUGCAUUCGAAACUGGCAGGCUAGAGUCUUGUAGAGGGGGGUAGAAUUCCAGGUGUAGCGGUGAAAUGCGUAGAGAUCUGGAGGAAUACCGGUGGCGAAGGCGGCCCCCUGGACAAAGACUGACGCUCAGGUGCGAAAGCGUGGGGAGCAAACAGGAUUAGAUACCCUGGUAGUCCACGCCGUAAACGAUGUCGACUUGGAGGUUGUGCCCUUGAGGCGUGGCUUCCGGAGCUAACGCGUUAAGUCGACCGCCUGGGGAGUACGGCCGCAAGGUUAAAACUCAAAUGAAUUGACGGGGGCCCGCACAAGCGGUGGAGCAUGUGGUUUAAUUUCGAUGCAACGCGAAGAACCUUACCUACUUCUUGACCAUCCAGAGAACUUAGCAGAGAUGGGUUUGGUGCCCUUCGGGAAACUCUUGAGACAGGUGCUGCAUGGCUGGUCGUCAGCUCGUGUUGUGAAAUGUUGGGUUAAGUCCCGCAACGAGCGCAACCCUUAUCCUUUGUUGCCAGCGGUCCGGCCGGGAACUCAAAGGAGACUGCCAGUGAUAAACUGGAGGAAGGUGGGGAUGACGUCAAGUCAUCAUGGCCCUUACGAGUAGGGCUACACACGUGCUACAAUGGCGCAUACAAAGAGAAGCGACCUCGCGAGAGCAAGCGGACCUCAUAAAGUGCGUCGUAGUCCGGAUUGGAGUCUGCAACUCGACUCCAUGAAGUCGGAAUCGCUAGUAAUCGUAGAUCAGAAUGCUACGGUGAAUACGUUCCCGGGCCUUGUACACACCGCCCGUCACACCAUGGGAGUGGGUUGCAAAAGAAGUAGGUAGCUUAACCUUCGGGAGGGCGCUUACCACUU